AAUCUGAAGAAAAUAAGGGAUGUUCCCAGUGAUUUAAAUAUGAUGGCUGGAAGCACAGAAGACAGCAUGAAGCAAGCAAGUAAACUAGUCUAGUGACUCAAUGUUCAGGAUGAAAUUCCAGAUUUCAGUGCUAUUACUAUUAUUUCUAGCCAUGGUAGAUGUUCCUGUACCUGACAUAUGAAGAUUGGUUUCCUUAGGAAGAAUUUACUGAGACAAAGAAACAGAGUUUGAAGGAUCCCAGGAGGUUGGCAACAUGCAUAUAAAGCUUCAUACUUAAUUGCUGCAUUAUGCUAUGAUGAUAGAAUUAAGCCUUCUUUACAGAAGAUUUUUCCCUGGUUUCAAUUAGCGCCUAGAUUAUCUAAAGGAAAAUAUUAAACAAGAAGAGGCCUUUAUGGUAUACUGUAUAAUUUUACUGAGAACUGAAUUAAUUUAAGUAUAAUUAGUGACAGCUGAAAACCAUGCAAAACAUUGUGUACUUGAAUCUCAUUGUGGCAAAAAAAAUUUGCAGGAGAUUUCCUGUUCCUAGAGCCUGUAAGGACUGGAAUAUUACUAAUUUUUUUCAAUAAUACUACAGUACUUUGGAAUUUGCUUUCAAAAAACUAGAUAGAUAGAAAAUUUGUACAGUUGUCCAUCCUUCCAAAACCUUGCUGUUUUUGAUAACAAUUUGGAAGAUUAAACUAGUUUAAUUG